GACGAACGCUGGCGGCGUGCCUAAUACAUGCAAGUCGAGCGGACCUCUUCGGAGGUCAGCGGCGGACGGGUGAGUAACACGUGGGCAACCUGCCUGUAAGACUGGGAUAACUCCGGGAAACCGGAGCUAAUACCGGAUACUAUGUCAAACCGCAUGGUUUGACAUUCAAAGACGGUUUCGGCUGUCACUUACGGAUGGGCCCGCGGCGUAUUAGCUAGUUGGUGAGGUAACGGCUCACCAAGGCGACGAUGCGUAGCCGACCUGAGAGGGUGAUCGGCCACACUGGGACUGAGACACGGCCCAGACUCCUACGGGAGGCAGCAGUAGGGAAUCUUCCGCAAUGGACGAAAGUCUGACGGAGCAACGCCGCGUGAGUGAUGAAGGUUUUCGGAUCGUAAAACUCUGUUGUCAGGGAAGAACAAGUGCCGGAGUAACUGCCGGCGCCUUGACGGUACCUGACCAGAAAGCCACGGCUAACUACGUGCCAGCCGCCGCAGUAA
rnacentral:rRNA from 1 species